rnacentral:rRNA from 1 species
UAGUGGCAGACGGGUGAGUAAUGUAUAGGAAUCUACCUAGUAGUACGGAAUAAUUGUUGGAAACGGCAACUAAUACCGUAUACGCCCUACGGGGGAAAAAUUUAUUGCUAUUAGAUGAGCCUAUAUUAGAUUAGUUAGUUGGUGAGGUAAAGGCUUACCAAGACAAUGAUCUAUAGCUGAUCUGAGAGGAUGAUCAGCCACACUGGAACUGAGAUACGGUCCAGACUCCUACGGGAGGCAGCAGUGGGGAAUAUUGGACAAUGGGCGAAAGCCUGAUCCAGCCAUGCCGCAUGAGUGAAGAAGGCCUUUGGGUUGUAAAGCUCUUUUAGUGAGGAAGAUAAUGACGGUACUCACAGAAGAAGUCCUGGCUAACUCCGUGCCAGCAGCCGCGGUAAUACGGAGAGGGCUAGCGUUAUUCGGAAUUAUUGGGCGUAAAGGGCGCGUAGGCUGAUUAAUAAGUUAAAAGUGAAAUCCCGAGGCUUAACCUUGGAAUUGCUUUUAAAACUAUUGAUCUAGAGAUUGAAAGAGGAUAGAGGAAUUCCUGAUGUAGAGGUGAAAUUCGUAAAUAUUAGGAGGAACACCAGUGGCGAAGGCGUCUAUCUGGUUCAAAUCUGACGCUGAGGCGCGAAGGCGUGGGGAGCAAACAGGAUUAGAUACCCUGGUAGUCCACGCUGUAAACGAUGGAUGUUAAAUAUGGGAAGUUUACUUUCUGUAUUACAGCUAACGCGUUAAACAUUCCGCCUGGGGACUACGGUCGCAAGAUUAAAACUCAAAGGAAUUGACGGGGACCCGCACAAGCGGUGGAGCAUGUGGUUUAAUUCGAUGCAACGCGAAAAACCUUACCACUUCUUG